GCAUUUCCGCCAAUCACUUCAACAGUGCCAAAAUGCCCUAUUCCUUGAGUCACUGGAACCGCUGACCCAACUUACAAGAACCUCCGUACUUCUUAUGAGCCGGGAUCGAUCAUAUUCGCAUUUCCACUAUGUUUCAGCCCCGAGCAGCCAUCGAAAGCAAAGAGAUCAGGUCGUUAUAUUCUACCAAAUAGAUGCCGAUGCUCCCGAACUGCUAUAGGAGUCUAAUUAUCAUUCCCUUCCCGCAUCACUAGAUCACUAGAAAGAUAAAGCGAUCGAGGAGCGAAGUUAUGAGCUGACAUGAGUGGCCAUUGAAAGCAAAGAGAUCAGGUCGUUAUAUUCUACCAAAUAGAUGCCGAUGCUCCCGAACUGCUAUAGGAGUCUAAUUAUCAUUCCCUUCCCGCAUCACUAGAUCACUAGAAAGAUAAAGCGAUCGAGGAGCGAAGUUAUGAGCUGACAUGAGUGGAAUCGAAGCAACUAGUCCUGUCCAAAGAGUCCCAACCCAGGGAAAGUCCUUUG
rnacentral:lncRNA from 1 species